GGGGUAAUAGCUCAGCCGGUUAGAGCAGCGGACUCAUAAUCCGUCGGUCGCGGGUUCAAGCCCCGCUUACCCCA
rnacentral:tRNA from 1 species